rnacentral:rRNA from 1 species
GCUAUCUGCAGUCGAGCGCGGGAGCAGGCAGAUCCUCUUCGGAGGUGACGCCUGUGGAACGAGCGGCGGACGGGUGAGUAACACGUGGGCAACCUGCCUGUAAGAGUGGGAUAACCCCGGGAAACCGGGGCUAAUACCGGAUAAUACUUUUCGUUGCAUAACGAGAAGUUGAAAGGCGGCUUUUAGCUGUCACUUACAGAUGGGCCCGCGGCGCAUUAGCUAGUUGGUAAGGUAACGGCUUACCAAGGCGACGAUGCGUAGCCGACCUGAGAGGGUGAUCGGCCACACUGGGACUGAGACACGGCCCAGACUCCUACGGGAGGCAGCAGUAGGGAAUCUUCCGCAAUGGACGAAAGUCUGACGGACAACGCCGCGUGAGUGAUGAAUGUUUUCGGGAUCGUAAAACUCUGUUGUCAGGGAAG